AAGAGCCGUGUAACGAGAGAUUGUUACGCACGGUUCUGUGGAGGCCUCGGGGUGAGAUUCCCC
rfam:Nocardiopsis sp. CNR-923 NODE_98_length_7219_cov_263.903_ID_219, whole genome shotgun sequence.